GUUGUCUCCCAAUAUUUCCAUAAGAUUUCAGACAUCAUACUGAGAAUUAGUUCCUGAAGCUUGAUUUGAUAUAUGGCAGAAGCUGUGGUUUCAUUUGUUGUACAAAAGCUUGGCGAUCUGCUCAUUGAAGAAGUAGCAUCCUUCUACGAUGUGCAGGGCCAAGUUGAGUCAAUUGAGAGGGAGUUGACUCGAAUGCAAUGCUUUUUAAAGGAUGCAGAUGUCAAGCAAAAGGGAGAUGAGAGGAUCAAGAACUGGGUUGGGG
rnacentral:misc_RNA from 1 species